GACGAACCGUGCGAACGUUGUUCGGAAUCACUGGGCUUAAAGGGCGCGUAGGCGGGUCGAAAAGUCCGUGGUGAAAUCCCCCCGCUCAACGGGGGAACGGCCGCGGAUACUGUCGGCCUCGAGGGGGGUAGGGGCGAGCGGAACGCUGGGUGGAGCGGUGAAAUGCGUUGAUGAUCCAGCGGAACUCCGGUGGCGAAGGCGGCUCGCUGGGCCCUCUCUGACGCUGAGGCGCGAAAGCCAGGGGAGCGAACGGG
rnacentral:rRNA from 1 species